ACGCACCGGGACGGUCGCACCGCUCGCUCGUUGCUUGUGCGGGCGGUGCAUCCCAACGUGCCAGAUGG
rnacentral:snoRNA from 1 species